rnacentral:rRNA from 1 species
CACGUAGGCACCAAGCGUUGUCCGGAUUUAUUGGGCGUAAAGAGCUCGUAGGCGGUUCAGUAAGUCGGGUGUGAAAACCCUGGGCUUAACCCAGAGCCGCCACCCGAUACUGCUGUGACUUGAGUCCGGUAGGGGAGUGGGGAAUUCCUAGUGUAGCGGUGAAAUGCGCAGAUAUUAGGAGGAACACCGGUGGCGAAGGCGCCACUCUGGGCCGGUACUGACGCUGAGGAGCGAAAGCGUGGGUAGCAAACAGG